rnacentral:rRNA from 1 species
GACGAACGCUGGCGGCGUGCUUAACACAUGCAAGUCGAACGGAAAGGCCCUGCUUUUGUGGGGUGCUCGAGUGGCGAACGGGUGAGUAACACGUGAGUAACCUGCCCUUGACUUUGGGAUAACUUCAUGAAACUGGGGCUAAUACCGGAUAGGAGCUCCUGCUGAAUGGUGGGGGUGGGAAAGAUUCGGCGGUUGGGGAUGGACUCGCGGCUUAUCAGCUUGUUGGUGGGGUAGUGGCUUACCAAGGCUUUGACGGGUAGCCGGCCUGAGAGGGUGACCGGCCACAUUGGGACUGAGAUACGGCCCAGCCUCCUCCGGGAGGCAGCAGUGGGGAAUAGUGUACAAUGGGCGGAAGGCUGAUGCAGCAACGCCGCGUGCGGGAUGACGGCCUUCGGGUUGUAAACCGCUUUCGCCUGUGACGAAGCGUGAAUGACGGUAAUGGGUAAAGAAGCACCGGCUAACUACGUG